CUCUCUCUCUCUCUCUCUCUCUCUCUCUGUCUCUCUCUCUCUCUACUGUAAUCAUUUCAUUCAUCAUCACCUCCCUCUUUCUCCAUCUCUUUUAUAUUUGUCUCUGCAACACACACCCUUGAAAGGAGCCCGAUCUCUUGGGGGAUGUUUCCUUCCUUCUUCCUUCUCCUUAAUAAGAGCACCAACAGAUUCAUCGAUCAGCAAAGGAACUCAGAAACAAAUUCAUUAGCAGGCCAAGGCGGAAGAAAGGAAGAAAGAAAAGAAAAAAAAAAGGAAAGAGAGGGAGCUUUUUCUUUGAGGGGAAUGUUGUCUGGCUCGAGGCUCAUCUGCCAUCUAUCAUCAUUAGCUAAUGAUGAUCGAUUGUACAUAGAUCUGUUCGGUGAUUGAGCCGUGAUGUGAUCAGAUCUCGGACCAGGCUUCAUUCCCCUCAAUCACAGCUUCCUUCACCUUCAUCUUCUACUUCUCAGUCAUCUCUCCCUCCCUCUCCCUCUCACUCACAGAUCUUAUAUAUAUUUGGGCUAAUCAGAUUGGAGUAAUGAUUAGGGUUUCCUUUAAACGUCUCUAUCAGAGUCUCUUUUCCCAUCAGAUGCUGCUACUGACACCAGAGAAAUGGGGGAUAGUUUUUUCAUCAUUAUACUGCCUUGUACUAGGGUUUUAUCAUUAAACAACCAAUUCUCUGUUUAUUUUGUUUCUUCUUCUUCUUCUUCUUCUUCUUUAGAUUAUUUUAUGUUCUAUCGGUUUAUGUAUGAUCUUCUUCUUCUUCUUCUUCUUCUUCUUUUUAGAUUAUUUAUGUUCCAUCGGUUUAUGUAUGAUCCAUGGUAAUUCUAAUCAUACAACCAUUAAUUGAACA